AGGGACAAAGUCAAGGAGACUUCAAAGAUGAGAAAUGAUUGCACUGGGCCUUAGAGAGGAAGUUCAGCAGAACAAGGUGGGAAGGGCACGAUAUCAGAGAUCACCUGAUACUUCCAAGCAAGCAGGUGUUCUUUUCAGAAGCCAGAAGCUGAUAACCUGGGCUUUCUGAUCUAACCCCAGCCCAAAUUCAUUGCAAUGGAGGAAUUGGGGAGGAGAUUCUUCCUACUGAGAAGUGGGUGCCAACUCUCCCUUUCAAAUUUGUUCAUCAACAAACUAAAGGGGAUGCCAGAAAUGUCUGGAGCAAUGGAAGAACCACUGGAAUAAUGCUCCUGCCUGAUUGUAUCUACUUAACCCACUCUCCAAGAGCCAGAAUCAGAUUUCAACCGUAUGGAAUCAUCUACAAUGCAGCAGAUGGGUUUACAAGUCUCUUGGUCUCUUCAUGAAGAAGGCGCAGCAAUCGUGUCCCAAGUCCUUGAGGACUUCACAGGGUGUUCUAGUGUCCUGAGAAUAUACCUGCCUAAGGAAUUUGGCUAUAGCUGGUAUUGGGUUCCUCAAACCAGCCCACCUGCGCUAUGGGAAUGUCAAAAUUGUCCUGGCAAGCUGAGGGGGCAUCCAGAGGUCACCCAGCUUUCCCCUGAAGCGUUGCUCAGAGGCCACUGUACCAUAAAAGGGAGUUCCCAUCCCACACUGGUUCUGAAA
rnacentral:lncRNA from 1 species